CAUUUCGUAGACCGUCCCAAUCAGCAAGUUUGAAAUUGAAUACAGUUCUCUUGUCAUGCCCUGGCAUUUUUAAAUGAAGCAUAAAAUCGAAGAACAUCAGACGAUGGUCACUUGAAAGGUUCAAAGAUUUUGCUGAAACGCAUGAUAAACUACCAAUGUUUUCUGAAGUGUUUGUUAGGAUAAGGUCUAAGAUAUUGUUUAGUCUAGUGGGAUACAUAUUCACUUGGUGCAAAAAAAAGUCGAAUGUAAGUUCUCUAAACUCUGAUGAACCAACCGAAGGGGUCCUUUCUGAUAUAUUCGGUAGAAGUGAGGAAUUCCAAGUUAAGUCUGGAAAAUUAAAGUCACCAGUGAUAAGAACUUUAUCGUAGUG